GUUUGUAAAUCAUUGUUUAAUUUGUUUUGGAAUCUGAAGUGGUAAAUAUUUAAAAAUGAAUUUCAUGAAAACUAAUAUUUGACCAUUGUUUGUAUUAUGAGGCAGAAGGAUUACUAAUAAGAGCUGUGGUGGCACAGUGGUUAGAAUGCAGUACUGCAGGCUAACUCUCUGCUCACUUCUAAGAGUUCAAUAUUGACCGGUUGACUCAGCCUUCCAUCAUUCCAUCAUUCCGAGGUCCUGAUAGCACAGUCAUGAACUUGACAACACCUGGAAGCAAAGAACAGAGCCACAAUUGUGCGGCCAAGGAUAUGAAUUGUGGCGUUUGAUAUCUUUUGAUGCUUGGAAAUGUGACACGAAAUAUGUCACAGUGAACCAUCUGAAUUUAAAUUUUCUUCAGACAAGCUUAAGCAAUAACUAUUGCUGGGUGAAUCUUGUAAAAAGGAGUGAAGCUUAUGAGCAAUCAAUCUAGGGCUCCUGAAAAUACACAAUAUUAUGAUGUCAAAGAUUCUUCCAGAUGUGCUCUAAAAUGGAUAGACAUUUCAGACUGCAGUAUCAAGACCUUGAUCUUGAUUCUGGAGGCAGAAGAGACGGACAAUCUGCUAAGGAGUGUGAAGAACUAAAAUUAGGCCCUCAUAAGCACCAGCUCUGAACCUUAAAAGGUAACUUCUAUUCUCCUAUGCUGCCAUCUCUGCUCAAUGUCUUCCAGGCCUGGUCAUUCACUUUUUAAAAGUCUUAAUUCUUUGAACAGACGAUGGUGCCUUGAGAAUAUCUUACUGUACAUUGAAGCAGAAAUUUGUCAUGUCUUAUAGAUCACCUCUAGCCCUCCUUAAAGAAAGUUCCUCACUGGGAGCUAUCCACAGUGCUGCAACCACCAGCCCUGUGGAUACCAAUUAUACACAGAAUAUAACAAGAGGUGGAUGACCAUAUCUUUGAAUACCAUGUGCGCACACACAUGUGCACACCCACACCCACACACGUUUUUCUUCCUGCAAAUAGAAAUAGUACAGUUAGGGUGGCUGCAUAAAGCCUGAUGUGUUAUUUUACUAUAUCCAGAGUCCUUUUAUUUCAAUAUUUAUCUACCAUGCUUAGAAUUCUGAAAUACAUAUUGAGAAAAAAAUGAUUGCUCAGUGAAUUUGAAAUGGACUAGAGUUGUUCUUCAAAAACACUUUAUAUGAUUCCACUGUGCUUGAUUAGGAAUGUUUCCCAAACUAAAUCCAAAUAACUGCAUAAUUAUUUUAAUCAAUUUUGGUGACUUAAAACAAUCUCCUAUUGAGUCUGGGUAUAAUUGAUAGUGAUAGUGUUAACCUAUAAAGAUAUUUAUGACUUGGCACUAAGUACCUUCAAAACCAGAUAUGCCUAGUACUUGACUUCCGGUUUGCCGCACAGCCGCCAUGGACAGCUGGGAGACUUGCUCUCUCUCCCCCGUUCAGUUUUGGAUCGCUGGGGGGCCCCUGAAAAGGGCCAAAAGUCACCCCAAAGAGGCAACCAGCAAGGAGGGGCUCUCACUGGAUCGCAGGAGAACAGCAACUCUCCUGGUGGAGCUGGCGAUCCCUCCAAUCAGUGGAUGAAAGGACCGGCCAUAGAAAUAUGGCUCGUCCCUAAGCUGCAGAUAGCCAAAGUCACACUACCAUCUGGCAACUUCAAAGCAGCAUGGAAAGGACUGGGUGAAAUCUACCUCUCUUAAAUCCUAAUUGCUUUUUUCUACCUAUUCAAGCUGCUAGAGUACUUUUCCCCCUGUAGAGAGGGAAGGGGGAUUUUAGCCCUUCCUCUAGAAACAGUGGUGAUCGAAUAUACAGGGGAGUUUUGAAAAUGUUGAAAAAAUAAUUGGAUCCCAAUUGGAACUUUAUUUCCUAAAGCUUGCGCAUUAAAAGAUUUUUUAUUUUUUACUUUUUUCUUUCUAUUUGAAAGUCUGGGUUUUUCCUCUUAAAAUAGAAGAAAAUAACUGAAAAGGUUAAAAUAACUUUGAAAUUUAAAGGAAUUCCUUAAACAGUGGGGUGACAUCUUGUGGCUAAACCUGAAAUUGCAAUUUAUUAUUUUAAAGAAUAGAGACUUGGCUGACAGUUCAGAAAACAAGAUAAGAUUCGUAUGACUUUGAACACCAGCUGUGAGAUUUUUAGCUCUGUUUCUUAUUUACUGGGGGGGGGGACUGUAAAAGUUUUCAGUUCAACUCAUCACUAUGGAAGACCAGGAACAGAUCUUUUCUAUGGAAGAAAUGCAAAAACAAAUUUUUGCUAUAUUGAAAAUAACUUACCAAAACUCUUCUUACAGCUGGUGAUGAAAUAAGAGCCUUCGGAAAAAAACCCAAAAGCAUCUUAGAUAUGCAAACUCAAACUUUGACUAUAACUAAAAACCUGUUGUACAGAAUACAACAGAAAAAAAUCAAACAAUUAAAUAUUAUCACAGAAGACCUAACUGCCCAACAAGUACAGACAAUAGAAAAUUCAGAAAAAAAUCUGACAACUUGGACAGAGGAAAAAAAACUGCUAAAUAAAUCAGAAGGAAUUUGAAGAUCAAGAAGAGAAACAGAUGGAAGAAAAGAUAAACAGUUCAGGACAACUACGUCAAGAGGAGAAAAUAAAGAGAUGAUCUGGUAGUCCUGCCAGACCCUCAGCCUUCCAAAAAUGGCAACUGGAUGGUCAUCUCAAUAUGACAUAAUAUAUACAAUAAUACAAGAAUUCUUUGAGAACCCUGAAGCAAGGACAUGGAAGAUGAUUUGGCAAAGAAAAAAAGCCAGAAUAAGACUGAAGAAGAAUGGAAUGUGGACAUAUUUAGGAGGUUUAAAAUAGAAUAUACUUAAGUAGACAAGACCCGUAUUUUGAAUACAAGAUAUUGUUAUGAUGUGAAGAUAAAGAAAAAUGUUGGCUAAUUAAAACCUAGAUGCAUAAAUAUCAACAAUUAAACUGAAAUAUUGAGUUGUUUAUAAAGGUUAGAUAAAGGUGAUUAAGACAUAUACUGGAUAUGUUAAGAGUGAUGUAACGUAAUUAACAUGUUUUGAUGUAGUGAUAAGAAUAAAAAUUAUAAGCUUAAAUGUGAGAAAGUGGACCUAAGGAAGAAUGCUGAAAUGGGAGAAAUUUUGGUUAUUGAAUCUAUAAUAUUUGGAAAUUAUAAUGAAAAUAAGAAUAUUAUAUUGUAUUACUAAUCUGUUGAUAUAGAAGUGAGAUAGAUAAGAUAUGUAUCUGGAACACUAGAUAUUGGGGGGAAUUGUGACAAAGGGAAUUGGGGUCAUUUAAAAAUUUGGAAAUGAUAAAUAUUAAACAUUUAAUUUAAAUAUCAACGCAAAAUUAAAGCUGGGAAAAUUCAUAAGGUUAUUGAUAGUCCAAAAAAUGGAAUGUUAAAAUAAAUAAGACAUAUAAAAUUAUUGAUAAAUGUAAGAAAGCUAUUAAGUAGCUGAUGGCUAGAAUAAGAAGUAUACUAAUUUAAACAAGAGACAGUAUUAAGGGAAAAAACAGGAAAUAUUGGCUGUAAUAGUUGGAGAUUUGUAUUAAUAAUACUUGUAUGUAAUGGAAUUAUUGUAACUCAGACUCCACGUUGCUUUUCAAUGAUAUAAUUGUAACAUUGGAAAAUUAAUUAAAAGUUA